rnacentral:rRNA from 1 species
GAUGAACGCUGGCGGCGUGCCUAAUACAUGCAAGUCGAGCGAACAGAUGAGGAGCUUGCUCCUCUGACGUUAGCGGCGGACGGGUGAGUAACACGUGGAUAACCUACCUAUAAGACUGGGAUAACUUCGGGAAACCGGAGCUAAUACCGGAUAAUAUAUUGAACCGCAUGGUUCAAUAGUGAAAGACGGUUUUGCUGUCACUUAUAGAUGGAUCCGCGCCGCAUUAGCUAGUUGGUAAGGUAACGGCUUACCAAGGCAACGAUGCGUAGCCGACCUGAGAGGGUGAUAGGCCACACUGGAACUGAGACACGGUCCAGACUCCUAAGGGAGGCAGCAGUAGGGAAUCUUCCGCAAUGGGCGAAAGCCUGACGGAGCAACGCCGCGUGAGUGAUGAAGGUCUUCGGAUCGUAAAACUCUGUUAUUAGGGAAGAACAAAUGUGUAAGUAACUAUGCACGUCUUGACGGUACCUAAUCAGAAAGCCACGGCUAACUACGUG